rnacentral:rRNA from 1 species
UACGUAGGGGGCAAGCGUUGUCCGGAUUUAUUGGGCGUAAAGAGCGUGUAGGCGGCCAGGUAGGUCGGUUGUGAAAACUGGAGGCUCAACCUUCAGAGGUCGACCGAAACCAUCUGGCUAGAGUCCGGGAGAGGAGAGUGGAAUUCUUGGUGUAGCGGUGAAAUGCGUAGAUAUCAAGAGGAACACCUGAGGUGAAGACGGGUUGCUGGGCUGACACUGACGCUGAUGCGCGAAAGCCAGGGGAGCGAACGGG